CCCCUCUUAGGAUUGCACCUGGAGAAUUUCCAGUACUCUACCAGAAUCAGCUAUGGGAGGGAGAGUCAAGCAAGGGCAUAUCCAUUCCAUUCUUAGUUUGGCCAGUGUCUAGAGAAUGGAAGGCAAUCUGCUACAAAU